GCGAGAAACCUUUGCAAUGUGCGCAAGCACGACAAGGUUAAUCCGAGUGUUUCCUGCUAAAGGAAUCUUUUGUUAGUUCCAAAACCACUGAUGAAUAAGAGGUGGGCAAGUUCUGGUGUCAGCCGCCGCGGUAAAACCAGCACCUCAAGUGGUCAGGAGGAUUAUUGGGCCUAAAGCAUCCGUAGCCGGUUCUGUAAGUUUUCGGUUAAAUCCACUAGCUUAACUAAUGGGCUGCCGAAAAUACUGCAGAACUAGGGAGUGGGAGAGGUAGACGGUACUCGGUAGGAAGGGGUAAAAUCCUUUGAUCUAUUGAUGACCACCUGUGGCGAAGGCGGUCUACCAGAACACGUUCGACGGUGAGGGAUGAAAGCUGGGGGAGCAAACCGGAUUAGAUACCCUGGUAGUCCCUGAGCGGGCUGGCAAGGCGCAU
rnacentral:rRNA from 1 species